rnacentral:rRNA from 1 species
CCUACGGGAGGCAGCAGCAGAGAAUCUUGCGCAAUGGGCGAAAGCCUGACGCAGCGACGCCGCGUGCGGGAUGAGGGCCUUCGGGUUGUAAAGCCCUUUUCUGGGGGAUGAGACAAGGACAGUACCCCAGGAAUAAGUGUCGGCUAACUACGUGCCAGCAGCCGCGGU